rnacentral:miRNA from 1 species
CUGCUCAAAGUUACCCCAG